UACGAAGGGGGCUAGCGUUGUUCGGAAUUACUGGGCGUAAAGCGCACGUAGGCGGAUCGAUCAGUCAGGGGUGAAAUCCCAGAGCUCAACUCUGGAACUGCCUUUGAUACUGUCGGUCUAGAGUAUGGAAGAGGUGAGUGGAAUUCCGAGUGUAGAGGUGAAAUUCGUAGAUAUUCGGAGGAACACCAGUGGCGAAGGCGGCUCACUGGUCCAUUACUGACGCUGAGGUGCGAAAAGCGUGGGGAGCAAACAGG
rnacentral:rRNA from 1 species